UUAUACCCGCAAAUUCACUCAAAUCUGUAAUAGGUUUGUCAUUCAACCCCAAAAAUCUAGUGCAAAUAUUACUUUCGCCAAUUAGGUAUAAUAAUGGUAAGCGGGACAAGACUCGACAUUUGAUACACUAUUUAUCAAUGGAUGUCUUUUUUCU
rnacentral:telomerase_RNA from 14 species